CUAGAUGAACAAUUUUUGGUGGACUUUGGCACAGACAAAAAUGACAUUUUACUUGCACACGAAAUGCGUUAUCCAGGAGGUGACUGUACAUCAGAUAUAUGGCUGGCAGAAGAUUAAUCUACUCGUCGAUCAACAAUAUAUAUUUUCAUUUUAAUAAACAAUAUUUUAGAUGCUUAGCAGAGUAUCAGUGGUACAUAUAAUCUUCUAAUAAGAUAAUAAAUACUUUACAAAUGUCAAA